UACGGAGGGUGCAAGCGUUAUCCGGAUUCACUGGGUUUAAAGGGUGCGUAGGUGGGUUGGUAAGUCAGUGGUGAAAUCCCCGAGCUUAACUUGGAAACUGCCAUUGAUACUAUCAGUCUUGAAUACCGUGGAGGUCGGCGGAAUAUGUCAUGUAGCGGUGAAAUGCUUAGAUAUGACAUAGAACACCAAUUGCGAAGGCAGCUGACUACGCGAGUAUUGACACUGAGGCACGAAAGCGUGGGGAUCAAACAGG
rnacentral:rRNA from 1 species